CCGGACGUUUCGGUCGCCAGGUUGAAGGAAGUGGCACCUAAUAUAAUCUGGUUCAGCAACAGUGUACCUUAAAAAAAACGCCACCUGGAAAUGAAAAAGAAAAUUAGCAAAACUUAAAUACACAAACACCAUUUGCAAUUUGCUUCCAAACAAGCGGUGGCGAGGCUGCGAUCACCUGACCUCGACGGGUCCAGACUCGUGAUGUGAGCCCUGCCUUACUCACAGUCACUCCACAUCUGCCACUGUCACAUUUGUAACACGACAACUUCAAAAAACGCAUAGUAAGGAAAAUGAGUAACUUGCCUAACAUUUCUAACUGUGCAAUCAUGAAAAGACAAUAUGGAAAGCACUAGACUGCUGAGUCACCGGCUCUGAAAAUGUUCCUCCUUCGACAUCAUGGGUUCUUAACGAAGAUGAAGUGAAAAGUUGUUUUCCUCAGAGAAAAUGACAAAGUGCAAGAACACGGCGUAAUCAGGACUGUGACUUAGUGGUCUGAUACGAUUGUCAAUGUACCAUUUGAUAAUCAGGAAUAUAAAUCAUCAUCAACCAAUCAAGCGUUAUUAUGAGAGCACUUUUCACUCAAACAGUUGGAACUCGCCACUGUGAACGGCGGGGUAAAAAGAUGCACCCACUCACCCAACAAAUGAUUGAUGCAGAAAUGUCUUGAAUGAAAAAUAAAACAAAACCCAGCUGUGACUGCCGGAAGAUAAACACGUUCAUCAAGGCUUGCAUAAAGGUUCUUAGGUUUGUUGUUAAAGAUAUGAGCUGUGCUUCUAUCAUCAGGGAGGAUUUUCCACAGGCUUGGACCUUCAACUUAUAAAACUCAGUCUUGUUGAAUGAAUGAAAUCAACCAGUUUUAUGUAUUUUAAACAUUUUUUUAAAUGUGCCUGUGAAUAUUCAAAUGUACUCACGAGGCAAUGAAUGGGAUUUUUUUUAAACAUAAGCAAAAGGAUCACAGGUGAGCAUCAUACAUUUCCAGCAUUUAAGAGAAAAAAAUGCAGAUCUCCAUUUAAUAAAUUUUCUCUUUUCUUAUCCGUUGAAAUAUAGAAAUAUAUUCUGAAAAGGAGACUCAAACGUCCAAAGCUCCAAUGAUCCUAUAUCUCAAAGAGAAGGAUUAAACUGGCUUGUUUAGUUCAACCCGGAAGACUAGCUUGUUAGAAUAACAUUAGCUUGUCAGCUGACGUCACCUGCUUACAAUGCCAUUGGUGGAGAACAAGUCUGACCUGUCUCAAUCGUCACCCAAAUUGAGGUGAACUCAUCCAUUUGCAUCUUAGGGUUUGUUUAUUUACAAAAACACAUGCACACAACAAAGCACCCGAUUUGCAAGAAACAAAACUGUUCAGUUAGAUACCUGCUCAUAAUUUGUAUUAAAAUGUCACUUUUUC